GACAGAGGGUGCAAACGUUGUUCGGAUUUACUGGGCGUAAAGCGCGUGUAGGCGGCUUGGCAAGUCGGGUGUGAAAGCCCACGGCUCAACCGUGGAAGCGCAUCCGAAACUGCUUCGCUCGAGUCUCGGAGAGGAAGGUGGAAUGCUUGGUGUAGAGGUGAAAUUCGUAGAUAUCAAGCAGAACACCUGCGGCGAAGGCGGCCUUCUGGACGAUGACUGACGCUGAGACGCGAAAGCGUGGGGAGCAAACAGG
rnacentral:rRNA from 1 species